rnacentral:lncRNA from 1 species
UGGUUGGUGGAAUAACAAACAAUGAGGAUGUGAAGAAGGUCCGUAAGUUGAUGGAGGACUUUAAUGUUUCAUUUUAUCUUGGAUGUAAAAAGAUGAUGAAGCUUAAGUUCUUAAUCUGGUUGUAUCAUACGAAAUGCUCCAAUGGGUUCAAUAAUAAUGGAGUAAACUGUAUACUAGAGCUUUUGGGGGAUAUUCUUUUAGACAAUGCAUAAAUUUCGAAGAAU